GAUGAACGCUGGCGGCGUGCCUAAUACAUGCAAGUCGAGCGAACAGACGAGGAGCUUGCUCCUCUGACGUUAGCGGCGGACGGGUGAGUAACACGUGGAUAACCUACCUAUAAGACUGGGAUAACUUCGGGAAACCGGAGCUAAUACCGGAUAACAUGUUGAACCGCAUGGUUCAACAGUGAAAGACGGUCUUGCUGUCACUUAUAGAUGGAUCCGCGCCGCAUUAGCUAGUUGGUAAGGUAACGGCUUACCAAGGCAACGAUGCGUAGCCGACCUGAGAGGGUGAUCGGCCACACUGGAACUGAGACACGGUCCAGACUCCUACGGGAGGCAGCAGUAGGAAAUCUUCCGCAAUGGGCGAAAGCCUGACGGAGCAACGCCGCGUGAGUGAAGAAGGUCUUCGGAUCGUAAAACUCUGUUAUUAGGGAAGAACAAAUGUGUAAGUAACUAUGCACGUCUUGACGGUACCUAAUCAAAAAGCCACGGCUAACUACGUG
rnacentral:rRNA from 1 species